rnacentral:rRNA from 1 species
UGGGGAGUCUUGCACAAUGGAGGAAACUCUGAUGCAGCGAUGCCGCGUGAGUGAAGAAGGCCUUUGGGUUGUAAAGCUCUUUUGUAGGGGAAGAUAAUGACUGUACCCUAAGAAUAAGGUCCGGCUAACUUCGUG